rfam:Pteropus alecto contig28098, whole genome shotgun sequence.
GUCUAUGGCCAUGCUCCCCUGAACAAGUCCAAUUCCAUCUGAUCUCGAAAGCUAAGCAGGGUCAGGCCUGGUUAGUACUUGGGUGGGAGACCACCUAGGAAGACCAGGUGCUACAGGCA